AUCAUCCUCGUGGUCGUCGGCCAUCCCCCUUUAAAAAUGUCCCCGUAAGUCUAAUUAGUGGAAACGAUUUCGACCCUUAACAUUUAUUAUUUCGUCCAGCGAACUUAUCCAUAAUUUCUUGUUCGUACCCGAAAUCUUAUUUCGUAAUGUACGUGUGUCUAAAAUACUCCCUUACCUAAAUAACGUGUUAGAAGUUUAACGUUAUAUCCGAAAGCGGGGCUUUAAUCUGGAGAGGAGUUUCACCGCUGAUGGUUGCAGGAGCACAGGGACAACAGCCAUUGCUAAUGCAAGCAGGGCUAGCACAACAGUUGCAGGUGGGAAAG